GUGACUAGAGAAAAAGGGCCAAUAGUGAAUCAGACUAGGAAGGGGAACAAUUACUUCAUAGACAGUGAUUCUAAAAUCUUUCCCCAAGGAAGAUGAGUUGUGAGAUUGACUUCAAAAAAGUUGUGUGUCAGCUUUAAGUUUAUCUUACUGUUGAGCUUUUAACUUGUUCCAAAUUCACUUUGCCAGGUUUUCCACAUGAAGUUGAAUAUUCAUUUUCUUACAUUUAAAAAAAAUAAAAUAACUGCUUUUCACAAUCUUAAAAAUACCUAAUCUGAAAUUCUCU